GAAAUGCGAUAAGUAAUGUGAAUUGCAGAAUUCAGUGAAUCAUCGAAUCUUUGAACGCACAUUGCGCCCUUUGGUAUUCCAAAGGGCAUGCCUGUUCGAGCGUCAUUUGUACCCUCAAGCUUUGCUUGGUGUUGGGCGUCUUGUCUCUAGCUUUGCUGGGGACUCGCCUUAAAGUAAUUGGCAGCCGGCCUACUGGUUUCGGAGCGCAGCACAAGUCGCACUCUCUAUCAGCAAAGGUCUAGCAUCCAUUAAGCCUUUUUUUCAACUUUUGACCUCGGAUCAGGUAGGGAUACCCGCUGAACUUAAGC
rnacentral:misc_RNA from 1 species